UAACUGGAGAGUUUGAUCCUGGCUCAGAAUGAACGCUGGCGGCGUGCUUAACACAUGCAAGUCGAACGAGAAAAAGAUUGCUUGCAAUCUUGAGUAGAGUGGCGCACGGGUGA
rnacentral:rRNA from 1 species